AAUAUAGUAACUAGUGUAUAAGAAUUAAAAAUAACGUGCCUCUCACUUACAUAAAGACAUCUCAGCAUAAUUUAUUCAGCAUAAUAAGAUCCACAAUAUGUAAUUCAAUCCACUAUGAAUAUUUUCACUACAAUACUCGACCAUUCUAAAAAUUGAAAAGAAUAAUAAUACUUACAUUUUAUAUAUGAUCGCCUACACUCUUAUCUCCUAAGAUUUGGUUAAAGAUCCAGUAGAUCCAACUCAAGGCUCAAACCACUAAAAUAACGGUGGAAGCUUAAAAUAACUUAACAAAGAAAAAACACUUCCAAACAAAAUAAUUUAUGUUGUUAUUAAAGUUACAAUUGUUUUAGUAACUAUUUAUUAUCUUAGUGGUAAAGUGUAAUGCUUUAAAUGUGUUGUCUAUGUCUAUGG
rnacentral:lncRNA from 1 species